ACGACUGAAAGAGUCUGCUUCGGGGAUGCGAGGUGGAGUUGGGGAAGGGACGCUUGCAGGGAGAAACUGAGGAAGGACGGGCCAGGGACUCGAACGAAGAGGGAAGGUUUAGAUUGGAGGCCUGAAGUCUAGCGAGGAAAAGGGCGCCCGAUGGGAGCAGGAACCUCAGAAGUCCUAUCCCAUGAUUUCCAAUAUAGUAGGCUCUAAAAGGUGAGCCAUUGUUGGUCUGAGAAGUCGUCUUAAAAGACGAAGACGAAGCAUUUUAGCUCCUUAUACAGUGCUGCUUUCUGCUGACUUUAGUGUUUUCUUCCGCAAAAAAAGUGAGGAAGAGGUCAGGUCCUUAAUCCGUGAUGGUUACUUAUACCACUAGGAUGGCUCCUUCUACUGAUGCGAGUGUUAAUCCCCCUGCCGCUGUUGGACUCUUCACAAUGGAUCAUUCCAGACUUGCUCAGAAAGAGCAUUACCACUGCUCUCCAGGCCAGGGCAUAUAGUGGACAGUCUCCCACAACAGUCUCCUCAUCUUGGGGGUGCUAUAUGCAAAUGAGCCCAGGUCUCUACUUCCAGAAUUCUCAGAAACCUGGUGCUUUCCCUAACCUUUCUUUCCCUCCACAGAUUUGUGUUUCCCCCAUCCAAAGCACUCCCUUUUCCUUUUGGAUCAGUUCCCCUAGUAAGCCCAUGCUUUUCAAAACCAUUUCUGGACAUUGUCUUUUGUGUGGCUGGAAACUUAAUUGUUGGCUCUGAAACUUAGAAGCCUUCAAACUAGGGAAGAUUUAAGGUCUGGCUACCAUCUGGGGGUGGGGGGGAUUACCCACAGAAAUGAGAACAAAUAUCUCCAUAAACUAUCACGUUUAUUAUAUAUUACUGUUAUGUAUAUACAACAGUAAUAUAUUACUGUUAGUACUUGACUUUGAAGUAGCAUUAGGUAGUUUAUAAGUAGGAGAAAACUGUUUUUGAGUAAUUGUAAUGAAAAAUGUAAAGUGACCAGUGCCAAAAGAUAGGUGACUAUUAAGUGCCAUUGAAUUUCAAGGCAGGAGAUAGAUUUUGGCCAGGGGAGAAUGAGUUCCAGGCAAGGGGAAGUGUGAAUAAAUGAACAUUCAAAAUGAGAAUGUCAGAGAUGCGUUUAAGGACUGGAAGUAAUCCAAUUGCAGACUAUGAAGAAAUAGGUGAGGAAUCUCGCUCAGAAGGGCCAAAGUUCAGAAUUAUCCAAGGUCACUCAAUUGAGCAUCGGAGAGUCGAGGUUUGAAUUUGGGUCUCUCUGCUCUUUGCUUCAUCAUUAUAUAUUAAUGAAUGCAACUUUUCUCAACGAGACUAAGAAGCCAAGGAGAAACAUGAAAGCUCAAAUGCGCCCUGAACUACUCUCAACCCCCAAGUCAAGGAAUGCAAAAGGCCCAUCAUGUGGCAGCAGCUCAUCAAUAAUUGUUGACUGAAGGAAUGGAUUUCUUCCAACCAGACCAAUGAUUUUGUGAAACAAAGGCAAUAAUAAUCAUGAAAAUAACUAACAUUUAUUUAAUGUGUACUAUAUCCUAAGCACUUUAUGUCAUUUGGAUCAGGAACAGGCUGUUAUGUCAAAGCACUUGGAAUAGGAUGAAAAUGAUAAUUUAUGAAGCAUGCUGUUUUAAAAGGAACGGUUUCUCUGGGAAUUUGUCAUACAGAAUUCCCCUAAAAGGGUUCCGAAAUGCAUGUGCAAAAAUGUCCAUUGCAGUACUGCUUGUAAUAGCAAAAUAUUGGAAACAAUCCAAGUAUCUAUCACUAGGGAACCUGUUAAGUAAAUUAUAGUUCAUCCAUACUGUGUAGGCAGCCUUUAAAAGAAUAUAGUAGAUCUAAAUGCACUGACAUAGAAAACUGUCCAAGACAUAUUGUUAAGAGAAACGAUCCCAUUUUUGUUAAACAUACCCAUGAGCGCGGGUGUGGGCAUGCAUGUGUAAAUGAAUACACAGAAAAAAAAUAUGAAUGUGCAGAGAAAAAUCUAGAGGAGCAAUAUAAUACAAAUUGUUAAAAGUGGCUCCUUCUCUGGAUAUGACUGUGGGGGACUUUUACUUUAUUAAAUAUUCAUCUCUAUAAUUAAAAAAUAUUUAUAAGAAGCAUGUCUUAUUUUAUAACAGCUUUAUUAAA